CAACUGGGAAUUGGUCCAAAACCAUCACUAAAGAACUCCCUAUAAGCAAGCCCAAGACCAUUUUGGCUGCUCCCAGAAGGGUAACACACCCACCACUCCUACCUCCAAACUUGUACUGACCAGCAAGGCCUCCUGCACCAUGGCAACAGGGCAUGGCCCCAAACCAACAUCCCACUAAGUUCAUUAGGCCUACAGUCACUGAAAGAGAGGUAGCAGAGAAGUCCUUGCCUGGAAAAAGAUCAGCUGACAGCUUACACACAGCAAUGACAGAAUUUAGAAUUGAUAAAGGAAGUUGAGGAAUUGUGCCCUUGAUAAACCCUUCUUUCCAAGCAUGCUUGGAGAUUUUCACCGCCUGAAUAGAAGAUGGUCCUAAUUUAAUAUCCUGCACCACUUUAGGCCUCCUUAUAAUUGCCAAAACCACACCCAGCAAGAAGACCAUAAAAGCAGAGGGAAGUGAGGAAAUAAUUUUCCUAAUUCUCCUCCUCCUACUCCUAUGCCUUUCUUCUUCACACAAAUUGCUAUUAUUAAUCUCUCUUUCUCCUCUAUCCUCCCCUGCACCAUUGACCACAGUAAUAAAGCAAGCACAAAAUACAGCCAAAACCAACCCAUCCAACCCCAACCAGGGUCGAUCUCCACCUGACUUUGACUUGUAAAAGUUCUGAUCCUUCCUAAUAUACUUAACAGCAGUCA
rnacentral:misc_RNA from 1 species